rnacentral:rRNA from 1 species
GAUGAACGCUGGCGGCGUGCCUAAUACAUGCAAGUCGAGCGAACAGACGAGGAGCUUGCUCCUCUGACGUUAGCGGCGGACGGGUGAGUAACACGUGGAUAACCUACCUAUAAGACUGGGAUAACUUCGGGAAACCGGAGCUAAUACCGGAUAAUAUAUUGAACCGCAUGGUUCAAUAGUGAAAGACGGUUUGCUGUCACUUAUAGAUGGAUCCGCGCCGCAUUAGCUAGUUGGUAAGGUAACGGCUUACCAAGGCGACGAUGCGUAGCCGACCUGAGAGGGUGAUAGGCCACACUGGAACUGAGACACGGUCCAGACUCCUACGGGAGGCAGCAGUAGGGAAUCUUCCGCAAUGGGCGAAAGCCUGACGGAGCAACGCCGCGUGAGUGAUGAAGGUCUUCGGAUCGUAAAACUCUGUUAUUAGGGAAGAACAAAUGUGUAAGUAACUAUGCACGUCUUGACGGUACCUAAUCAGAAAGCCACGGCUAACUACGUG